AGUCUCCUGGAAUGUUCGCCAGUUGGUGUCGUCCUUGAGCCGUUAGAAAAACCUUAGGAGACUUCGGCGUUGACGCCGGUGUGCCUGUCCGAUACCGCCCGCGGUUGUGCAAACGGCGGUGCGGAUCGGGAAGCCUUAGACGUCGCCCGGGUCCCCGCCUUGAACCACAACGGUUCAGGGCAAACCAAACAGCGGCAUUACCGGGAGACUC
rnacentral:other from 1 species